UCUAGAACUCGAGAUAUGGGUUGAACACUGAACAAUGUCUGGGCUGCAGGAUAGAUUCCGACUUUUUCUUUUUUUGCUACAAUUUGAACUUGAAAACGACCGUUUUGAAUUUUGGACUCUUAUUAAAGUUUUAGGCCUAUGUCUUAGCUUUCCAUC
rfam:Populus trichocarpa scaffold_14_contig_83, whole genome shotgun sequence.